AUUCUGCUGCUUCCGGCUGCUGACGACCACAUGGGCCCCGUCCUGGGCCAAACGCCGGGCGAUGGCGAAGCCGAUCCUGUGAGCAGAAAGAGACAAAGACUGCUAAGGCCUGUGCAGGGGAAGAGGUCGACAGUAUGAGCUCUGAAGUUAAGACUGCCCGGGUUUGAAUUCUGGCUCUUUCUCUAUAUAACCCCUACGUGUGCCUACUAUGUGUAAAACAGGCUUAAUGGCAUGGCCAUUUUUGGCAUUCCUUUACUUGUUUUUAUUAUGACCUGGACCACAGCCUCAGUUCCCAAGAACUGACAUCACUUUCUACAGUUCCCACCAUGGGUGACAGGCUUCAUCCCCUCUUGGGACUGAGAGGUGCCACUUCGGAUAAACCCUUUGGACUCCUAACUCCAAUCAGGUGUCUGCUUUGUUGAGGACUCACAGACACAGUCUCCUUUCUUCAAGAUCUUUACAAUGCAAGACCUCACUAACACACAGGGAUGGUCUCCCAGAGGGUCUGUGCUGUUCCUUCACUCAGAACAUCAAGAUGCACUGAAGUAAGGAUCCUCUAUUCUACAGUUCCUGCUAGCUGAGCUAUUCCAUGGGGGCUUCAGCAGGAAAUUCCAAGGUUGGCUUUGACAAGCUAAGGCCGGCUGGUGGAGCACAUCGAGUUCUGGAGGUUCAUGUGUGUUUUCAUGAAGAUCUGUCUGCCCGUAGCAGAUAAAGAGUUGUUGCCCCACUCCUCCUGGGGUCUUCUAUUUUCCUGGGAGGAAUUUCUGGAUUAACUGAACACACACACACACACACACACCCUUUUGAAGCAUCAACAGUAAUUCUGAGUUCUUAGGGACAAUGCAGAUUAAAUCCACAAUAAGAAAGACAACUAUGGCCAGGUGUGGUGGCUCACGCCUGUAAUCCCAGAACUUUGGGAGGCUGAGGCGGAUGGAUCACCUGAGGUCAGGAGUUAGAGACCAACCUGACCAACAUGGAGAAACCCCGUUUCUACUAAAAAUGCAAAAUUAGCCGGGCAUGGUGGCAGGCGCCUGUAAUCCCAAAUACUCGGGAGGCUGAGGCAGGAGAAUCACUUAAACCCGGGAGGCAGAGGUUGCAGUGAGCCAAGAUCGCGCCAUUGCACUCCAGCCUGGGCAAGAAGAGCAAAACUCCAUCUCAAAAAAAAAAAAAGAGUACUAUUGAUCCAGAGGUGACCAGACUAGCCUCACUGGAGAUAAUAGGUGACAUUAUUAUGCAAAGUGGUUUCAGUUCCCUUGUCUUGUUUUUGGAAUAGUAUAAGAGGCCUACAAUACGAAUAAAUAAGGCCCAUCACAAGCCUCACCAAAGGACAAAACUAAUCCACUUCUGAAGAAGGCUCUUUGUUGGGCCAGAUCAAAUCCUUGGACAGAACUGUACUCUUAAUCUCUGUAGUGAAAGUGGGGGGUAGUUUAAGAAUUUAUUAACCUUCUACCUUGAGCAAUCCCUCAGAAGUAAGAGGUGUCAGGCCUCUGAGCCGAAGCUCAGCCAUUGUAACCCCUGUGACCUGCACAUAUAUGUCCAGAUGGCCUGCAGGAGCCAAGAAGUCUGGGGCAGCUGAAAAACCACACAAGAAGUAAAACAGCCAGUUCCUGCCUUAACUGAUUAACCAACAUUACAACAUUCCACCAUUGUGACCUGUCCCUGUCCUACCUUAACUGAUCAAUCGACCUUGUGACAGUCUUCUUCUGGACAAUGGGUCUUAUCAUCUCCCCACCAUGUACCUUGUGACCCCCUCCUCUGCUAACAAUAGAUAACCACUUUUUACUGUAAUUUUCCAUUACCUACCCAACUCCUAUAAAGCAACCCCUUCCCCAUCUCCCUUCACUGACUCUGUUUUCAGACUCAGCCCACUUGCACUCAAGUGAAUAAACAGCCUUGUUGCUCACACAAA
rnacentral:lncRNA from 1 species